CACGAACCACCAGAUCAUGACCUGAGCCAAAGUUGGACACUUAACCAACUGAGCCACCCAGGCGCCCCUCAAUAAAUAAUUUUUGAAUACUUGAAUAAAUGACUGUUGUCAACUCUCCGUGUUCUUGAGCAAGCCAGUUUUUCCUUGAGCCUUAUUUUGAACAAUUUAAAAAAUAAACAAAAACCAAAACUCUGAUCAACCUACUCUUCAAGGGUUCAAGGUUCUAGGGCAAACAGUAAGACUCCCUCCACUCAGCUGUUCUUUCAGAUAAUUAAUAAGAGGUGCCAGACCACAGAUCAGAAGAUGUGUUAUGUGAAGCCUGAGGAUUUUUGCCACGUUAGGCUGGCCCCUUUCUCUCUCCCUGGUUGUAGGUGGUUAGUAUAUAGUACACAGAGCACCGUCAUCAGAGAGAAAGGAGCUAAUCAGUGAGAGGAUUUACACACAGGAAGAAAUGUAUGCCUAACCUCUAUAUAGCUCAGUUCCCAGGAUGUAGAGAAGGGAUGGCCUCUGAAUUCAUUGCCAAGGUUACAAAGUACUUGGAGGGGCCAGUGACCAUGCCUCUUGUUGCAGCCAUGGGAAACUCUCUAUCCAACAUGGGGGUACCUGGCCUAGCUGCAGGUGAUCCAAUGGGCAGAAGUUAAAAAAUCUUGGUUGUUAAAUAAGAUCUGUCUGUGCAUAGUCCUCAGAAUCCUAACUCCAGAUGUGACUGAAUUGCCACUUUGUAAAUACAGAAUUGCUCUUUUAUAAACCAGAAGCCAAUGCCUACAAACUGGGAGGUAACUUCAUGAACCCCAGAUAACCUGUAUAUAUGCAUACCACCCAGCUAAAAAUAUCUAUAGGCUCUACCCAGCAUGGCUACUUACACCAAUUCAUCUCCAUGGCCUUACACAUACUAUACAUCUCACUAUGUUUCAGGAAGCCCUAUCUUGGAUACAGUGACCUCCUGCACAUCAGUCAAAGGACUGAAACUAGAAUAGGAAAAUCAGGAUUGGUUUCUACUUUGUUUCUUCUACUACUGAAAGUAUCUGACUCUAUUGUAAUUAAUUGCUUCCUGCCUGUUUCUUUCCCUAGGUUAUGAGAUACACCCCAGAGAACUGAGGAAGAACAAUGGAGUACAUUAUUAACUAAAAUCAGUGCAUAAUUUUAUUUUUUUUAAGCAUUCUGGAACAGAUAAUUUAUCACAGUUUGAUGCCUCAGGAAACAUUCCAUUUUGGUUAUAUGACACAGAGAAAGGCUCUCUUAAACUUCCCCUACAGACUCCUUCGUAUAUUUGGUAUGAUGUUAAUCCUUUAGGCUGGUGUGGGAAUCUUCUCUUCUCAGCAAAAUUUGAAUUUCUACUUCUAGAUUAGAGUCAAAGAAGGAUUAGAAAGAUGUUCAUUUUAAUAUUUAAAGACCACUUUAGGAAUACUUAUAAUAUCCUGCUAGUUAUGAAUGUAUUGCAUUUACUAAAAAUUGCUAAGUACCUUGCCAAAUUUUUGUUAAUAUUAUAAUCAAAGGUACUUAGUUACUUGUAUUUCUGCAGGCACUGAAAAUGCCAUGCAAUUAUAUACAGAAUAUAUUUUCUCUUUUGAAACUGAAAAGCCCUAGAGGUUCAGACUAAUGGCUGUGCUCUUCCAGAUACAUUAUUCAUUGUAAACUAGCUUUCCAGAAUCCUACAUUAUGGAAAACUAAUUACCUGUCACAUUUUUAAACACAUGUAUACUAAUACAUAUUAUGAGCAUUUUGAACAAUCUUUCAUUCCUAGUCAACGGUUUUUUUGGUGUGUGUGUGUGUGUGUGUGUGUGUGUGUGUGUUUAACCGUGAAGGCAAAGUUUAAAAAAUAGAAAAAUAACAAAUUAGGAAAAUUUGACACAAUUCAUUAUUAGAGAAUGAUAAGUAAGUAAAAUGGAGGAUGAGUAAGAGAUCUACAUGCUGAAUCAACUGUUAAAAUGUAAGUCUUUCUUGCUUUUGAUUUUGUACAGAUGCCAGCCCUGAAAUGGAGAUGGUAAGAGAUGUGUUUCCCAGUUGAGGACACGAAAGACACCACUCACCAGUUGUGGGCAAUACCUACGAGGGGAUUAGAUGGGAACUUUUGCUACAUGCCCUGCUCCCCACAUAUGAAAGUUUCCCAAAGCAUAAUAUAUCCAAUUAUAUGCCUGGAUGGGGUUUUCAGGUCACCCCAGACCAGUCUUCUGUCAGUUUCCUGGCUUCCUCUACUUCAACUAUCAGAAGGUGCCUGCAAUCACUGCAUCCCUUACAUAGUCCCAGUGUGGCUCUAAGACAAUGGAUACUACUCAACACUCAUAUGAGAAAAAGGACCAGAGAAGUAAUUACUGGAACUUGAUUGUGUAAUAAUGGAUUUGAAAGUCAUCCAAGAUAUUAACAUUGUCCUAGAACGGAAAGCUAUGACAUCCCCAAAUACCACAAGCACAAAAUCCAUCACAUGGCAGAAAUGCAGAUGGGCAUUCCAUGAGAUGAGCCAAGAUUUUGAACACAAAGCCUUCUUCAGCCAGCUGGGAGCAGAUAUAUGAAGAGCCCUUGUCACCUGAAAUUUAUUCUCCUUCCCUAUUCAUUGUUCCAGAACAUAGGGCAGCAGCUAGAAUCUGUGGCUGAAACUGAAGUUUCAGUGAGCAGUAUGGUGAGCCUAGUCCAAACCUAUGUCAUCAUCCAAAUGUUGACUUCAGAUUUCAUUGAUAUUUACCAGUACCUUUGUUUUCUUGUUUUUCAUUCACAGCCCUUUCCUCUACUCAGUAUUUCGUGAAAUUCUAUAUAUUAUAUGUUAGAUUAUUUGCUAGACAUUUUGUAGUUUUAUCGCUAUUGUUCAAGGUAUUCUAUUUCCUGGCAUAUUUCUAGUCGGUUGCUGCUGCUUUAGAGGUUGUUGAUUUUUACAUGUUGAUCUUGUACUGAGCAAACUUGCUGAACUCCCUCAUUCUCUGCACCAAUAUUGGUUAUUUUGUCUUUUCCUUUCCAAUUCUUACAUCUCUUAUUUCUUUUUCUUAUGUUGUCCAGGGCUUUUAAUACUAUUUUAAAGAAUAAAUGGGAUAGUAGAUGAUGUCUAUGUGAAGUGCCUUUAUGAAAUCAGAUGACUGCUGUGGCUUUGCAAUAGAUAGUAAAUUAAAUUCAGGAAGUUCCUUUUCUUAGUUUCUUAAGAGAAGCACACUUUUUAAUAGCUGCAUUGUAUUCUUAUGUACAAAUAUAUGGUAAUUUAUUUAGGCAAUAUCUUAUUGAGAAAUAUGUUGGUUAUUUUCAUAAAUUUAUUUUUUAUAUUACCAAAAAAUCCUACAGUAAAAAUCUUUGUACAUAUUUCUUUCCACACUUGUCUAAGUUUAUAUACAGGAAACAUUUCUAGAAGCAUAACUGCUGAGUGAAGGAUGUGUGCCUUAAAUUUGUUUUCUCAAAUUUUGGAUAAAUGUUAUCAAAGAGAG